rnacentral:rRNA from 1 species
UGAACGCUAGCUACAGGCUUAACACAUGCAAGUCAGGGGCAGCAUGGUCGAAGCUUGCUUCGACUGAUGGCGACCGGCGCACGGGUGCGUAACGCGUAUCGAACCUGCCCUAUACACGGGGAUAGCCUUGCGAAAGUAAGAUUAAUACCCGAUACCAAGUUGAGAUCGCAUGAUUUUGAUUUGAAAGAAAGGGAGGCUCUUCGGAGCUUUCGCUGAAGGAGGGGCUUGCGUCUGAUUAGCUAGUUGGAGGGGUAACGGCCCACCAAGGCGACGAUCAGUAGCCGGUCUGAGAGGAUGAACGGCCACAUUGGGACUGAGACACGGCCCAGACUCCUACGGGAGGCAGCAGUGGGGAAUCUUCCGCAAUGGACGAAAGUCUGACGGAGCAACGCCGCGUGAACGAUGACGGCCUUCGGGUUGUAAAGUUCUGUUAUACGGGACGAAUGGCGUAGCGGUCAAUACCCGUUACGAGUGACGGUACCGUAAGAGAAAGCCACGGCUAACUACGUG